rnacentral:rRNA from 1 species
AUACGGAGGAUGCGAGCGUUAUCCGGAUUUAUUGGGUUUAAAGGGUGCGUAGGCGGGCUGUUAAGCGUGAGGUGAAAGCUCGGGGCUCAACCCCGGAACUGCCUCGCGAACUGGCGGUCUUGAAUGUCCGUGCCGUGGGAGGAAUGUGUGGUGUAGCGGUGAAAUGCAUAGAGAUCACACAGAACACCGAUUGCGAAGGCAUCUCACGAACGGAUGAUUGACGCUGAGGCACGAAAGCGUGGGGAUCAAACAGGAUUAGAUACCCUGGUAUUCCACGCCGUAAACGAUGAUGACUAACCGUCGGCGAUAGACAGCCGGUGGCCAAGCGAAAGCGAUAAGUCAUCCACCUGGGGAGUACGUCGGCAACGAUGAAACUCAAAGGAAUUGACGG